rnacentral:lncRNA from 1 species
CGGCCCCGGAGCCGGCGGCCCCCGCGCCCUUUGCCGAUUGCUGCGGCGGUUUUCUCUUCCUUUUCCUCCCGAGCUCGAAAGAGAAUUCCCAAAAAUCCAGCAGCCGGCUCCCCGUGGGCUGGGCACGUCCCUGCUCCUGCCGUCCUCCUCCUGGCCUGCCUGGCCCUGGGAAUUCCGGCUGGGAGAUCCCUGAUCCCACUGGGAGAUCCCUGAUCCCACUGGGAGAUCCCUGCUCCCACUGGGAGAUCCCUGCUCCCUGGGCUCCUGAUCCCACUGGGAAAUCCAGCUGGGAAAUUCCUGCUCCCACUGGGAAAUCCCUGCUCCCACUGGGAAUUCUGGCUGGGAGAUCCCUGCUCCCACUGGGAAAUCCCUGCUCCCUGAGCUCCCGAUCUCACCGGGAAUUCCGGAUGGGAGAUCCCCUCUCCCUGGCCCCCCCAAGCCUGUCCCCGGGGGUUGAUUCCCGGGAUAACCCGUGCCGGGAGCACCGGGAGAGCUUUGGGAAGGGGGCAGAGCCUCUCCAGCCCCGUCCCGCGGGCACAGCAGGAGCAGGGCUUGGCCUCGCCCGUGCCAGCCCCGCUCCUCCCCCGGGCUGUCCCGUGCUGUCCCCGGGCUGUCCCGGGCUGUCCCGGGCUGUCCCCGGGCUGUCCCCGGGCUGUCCCCCGGCUGUCCCGGGCUGUCCCCGGCUGUCCCCCGGCUGUCCCGGGCUGUCCCCCGGCUGUCCCGGGCUGUCCCGGGCUGUCCCCAGGCUGUCCCCCGGCUGUCCCCCGGCUGUCCCGGGCUGUCCCCGGGCUGUCCCCGUGCUGUCCCCGGGCUGUCCCCCGGCUGUCCCCAGGCUGUCCCGGGCUGUCCCGGGCUGUCCCCGCGUCCCUCCUGCCCCGAGCCGUUCCCUGGAUCGUGCCGGGUCCCUCCAUCCCCAGGGAAUUCCCCCUGACCUGGGCACUGCCAGUGCCAAAAUCCCCCCGGGGACACUUCUGGUCCCCAAAGGCCAAACCCCCCCCGCGCCGUGCGUGUCCCCCUCCCCAGCGCAGUAUUAAUUAUAUUAAUUACCCCUUCUAAUUGCACUCUGCAGGGGGCACCUCCAGGGCCCGCUGCUCUCUGGGCUUGGCUCCUCCUGGAUUUAUCCCGGGUUUAUCCUGGGUUUGUCCGCAGCCUUAAGGGCGGCCCUGACCCCCCAAACCCCAGCAGGAAAUAACCAAAGCAGCCCCGAGUUGUGCCUCCCCUGUCCCAGCCCCUCCACCUCGUCCUUCCUCCUCCUCCUCCUCCUCCUCCUCCUCCUCCUCCUCCUCCUCGACUGUGUGGAACUCAAAGCCAUGGAAUUAAAGAUACAAAUCGGUGCGGCGGAGGCAGAGCUGCUCUAUUGCAGAAAGGAGAGCGGGGCCGAGCCGGGCCGGGGACA